AUUGAACGCUGGCGGCAUGCCUAAUACAUGCAAGUCGAACGAACAGACGACUAGCUUUCUCCUCGGGCGGUAGCCGCGGACGUGUGAGUACCGCAUGUGUAACCUAGCUAUGAGACUCGGGUAACUUCGUUAGACCAUAGCUAAUACCAGCUAAUAUAUUAAACCGCAUGGUUCAAUAGUUAAAGCCGGUUUUGCUGUCACUGAUAGAUUGAUCCGCGCCGGAUUAGAUAGUUGGUAAGGUAACGGCUUACCAAGGCGACGAUGCGUAGCUGAACUGAGAGGGUGAUCGGCCACACUGGAACUGAGACACGGCCCAGACUCCUACGGGAGGCAGCAGUAGGGAAUCUUCGGCAAUGGGCGAAAGCUUGACGGAGCAACGCCGCGUGAGUGAUGAAGGUCUUCGGAUUGUAAACUUCUUUUAUACGGAAAGAAAAAACUUGUAAUAAACUAUGCGCGUCUUGACGGUACCUAAACAGUAAGCCCCGGCUAACUACGUG
rnacentral:rRNA from 1 species